AUGAACCUUGAUUGUAACUUCGUAUUUUCAUUUUUCUCUGCACCCCACAGUAUUGCGUUAAAUGUGAACAGUGUCCAUGUGAGAGCAGCUCAUCGAAGCCCGCGUGUCACAUGUUAUUGCAAGUUUUGCUACCUUUGCUCAGCAGUGUGUGAAACGGUGUGUAAACCAGGGGGAACACUGGAUAUGGUAUCAUCAGCUAUAUACAAUGCCUUACCCACCUUUGACAUGGAUAGUGUCACUGAAGACAUCAGUUCUAUUAAGGAAUAUCUGUAAAAGUGACAUCAUUGUUUUUAUGACGAAGAUGAAUUGCAGGCACCCUCAUUCAGUAUAUGGGCACACACUCGUCUUAACGUAAAUCUACUUUCAAAUGGAAUUUUUUCUUUCAUGUACAUUUCAUCAUGGCUUCAUACAUUUCACAAUGUGUGGAGUUCAGGUUCUUUAAAUGUGAACAUACUAUUAAUGUCGCAUCAGAUUUUUACAUGAAUCAAACAAACACCCAGAUUGGUGGUAUAGACGCGUGAUUCCAUGUGUCAUCUCGAGAAAUAAACACAUAGCAGUAAUAUGAAUAUGAGGUUAUUACGAGGAUACGGCAUGCAAGUAUGCACGAGGACAGUAAACCGCUUAUGCGUACUGUCUGAGUGCAUACUUUACACAAUCCUCGUAAUAACCUUAUUAUUAUACAUCUUUUCCUCCCAGGAAUACAUGAUGUAAAUGCCGAAAUCCAAAACGUUUAGAACAGAUUUAGUGAACUUCUUUGUAUGGGAACGGGGGCAGUCACGUUUGUUUUUUAUCAUUUAUUAGAGGACGCUUACGCGUGUAAUCGUUAUUGACGUACUAAAUAUGAAUCUAAUAUAUAAUGGAGAUGUACACCCGGACAUGACACAUUCGGUUGCGGUAUCACGCAUUCCGUUUGCCGAAUCUGUUUUUAAUUCAGUAAUAAUGUUCAAUUGUCUCACACAAUUGUUUGUUACUUAAAUGGUCCAUGUAUGCAGAAUGGCUGGAUUAACUAUAUUGUUAUUGUACAUAUCCCGUAACCGCAAAGUUAACGUCCUAAUUUGGGUAUGUUCUAUUCAACAAUACUGAAUGUUCGAUUUGUCAUUUUUAAAACUUUUCCUGUCAAACCAGACAACUAAUCCAAAAUAAGUAAAACUAUACUCAGAAAUUGGAAUAGGAAAAUCAAGAAACAGAAUUUGAGAGAAAAUAUCUUGGACUGUUAUAUUAUUUUGUUUAUACUGUACAUGUGUGUAUCUUAAUACUUAUUAUGCCACAUUCUGUAAAUAAUAAAUAUGUGUUUA